AUAUUUUGAUGAAUAUUUAUAUAAUAUUAACAUAAUUCAUAUUACUAUUUUUUUUUUAGUAUAUGAAAUUUUACUUUGAGAAAAUUAGAGUGCUUAAAGCAGGCAUAUGCCUUGAAUACUCCAGCAUGGAAUAAUAUUAAAGAUUUUUAUCUUUYUUAUUGGUUCUAAGAUAAGAAUAAUGAUUAAUAGGGACAGUUGGGGGCAUUUGUAUUUAACAGUCAGAGGUGAAAUUCUUAGAUUUGUUAAAGACARACUAAUGCGAAAGCAUUUGCCAAGGAUGUUUUCAUUAAUCAAGAACGAAAGUUAGGGGAUCGAA
rnacentral:rRNA from 1 species